UUGCUUCAGCAGCACAUAUACUAAAAUUGGAAUGCUACAGAGAAGAUUAGCAAUGCCCCUGCACAAGGAUGACACACAAAUACAUGUAGCAUUCCUUAUUUUU